rnacentral:rRNA from 1 species
GAUGAACGCUGGCGGCGUGCUUAACACAUGCAAGUCGAACGGAAAGGCCAGUGCUUGCACUGGUACUCGAGUGGCGAACGGGUGAGUAACACGUGGGUGAUCUGCCCUGCACUUCGGGAUAAGCCUGGGAAACUGGGUCUAAUACCGGAUAGGACAAUGGUUUGGAUGCCGUUGUGGAAAGUCUUUUCGGUGUGGGAUGAGCUCGCGGCCUAUCAGCUUGUUGGUGGGGUAAUGGCCUACCAAGGCGUCGACGGGUAGCCGGCCUGAGAGGGUGUACGGCCACAUUGGGACUGAGAUACGGCCCAGACUCCUACGGGAGGCAGCAGGGGGGAAUAUUGCACAAUGGGCGCAAGCCUGAUGCAGCGACGCCGCGUGGGGGAUGACGGCCUUCGGGUUGUAAACUCCUUUCGCUAGGGACGAAGCGUAUUUGUGACGGUACCUGGAGAAGAAGCACCGGCUAACUACGUG